GUCCACAGUGAUGAUCAGCUCCUUGAAAAGAUGUGAGGAUACUGGUGCAUAUUUCUUUAAAUUACUCAGUCAAUUUUAAAAGAGAAAUAUUGUUGCUAUUUUCAUCACUUUUCUUCAUAAGGGAUGCUUCUAUACUCAUAGCAUAAGGUGACUCAUCAAAACUUUGUCACAGUGAGUGGUCAGAAGGCAUACGCCAGAACUCCAGCAUUAUCCAACAGCUGUCACUUCCAUUUAAGGGACCAACGCAUUCUCUCAUGGACACUUCCUGGGGCAGCCUUUUGCAAAUUGCUCAUCUAACAAUCGAGAAAAUGAGGAAGGUGUUUACUUCAAAAUAAUCUUAGAAAUUGACAACAUGAAAUGAUUCAUUUCAUUGUGCUCAUAAAAGAUACUUUGUGAGGAUUCCUGGUCAAGAUGGCUGAAUAGGAGCAGCUCCAGUCUACAGCUCCCGGCAAGAUCAACACAGAAGGAAGAGAAGAAUAACUACAUAACCGAAGACUCAAUCAAUGGAGAAGAAAUCGACUUCACUAUGCGUGACAAACUUUGCUUGUGUUUUGCUUUUCCUGGUCAUCUUUCUUAACAAAACCUUUCCUACAUCCUUAUGCCUUUGUUUCAGAGAAUGGUAGUGUUUGCAUCUGAGGUAUAAGACAAUUCUUUGAGAUCUACUCUAGAGAUCUGCCCAUUUUUCUUGUUUCUAUCCCAUGUACAAAGGAGGUAUUUAUGUUAUUAAGCUUCUGUUUGUUUUUCUCUUGCUUUUUUUUUUUUAGACAG
ensembl:lncRNA novel transcript, antisense to DPP10